GAGGAUAAGCUCGAAAAUUGCCGUUGAGAACUGUAUAAUUAAAAAUUAUUAUGUGGGCCUAAAAUUAGCCAUCACAAAAGUUUGUUAUAAAAUAGUAAAAACACAUGAAAAUAUUUCUAUACACGAUACCACGCUAAGCUAUAAGAAUAAUAAUUUAAACCAAUAAAUUAAUAUACCUAUGCUAGGAUGAGUAUUAAAAUUGCUAUAAGAAAAAUUAAAGAUUUUCUUAGAAAUUGUUUCUAAUGCUAAUUAAAGACAAGGAACUCGGCAAAUGUUGUUCCGCCUGUUUAUCAAAAACAUGGCUCUUUGAAAAAAGCAUAUAAAGAGUCGAACCUGCCCAGUGAAGUUUUAAACGGCCGCGGUACCCUGACCGUGCAAAGGUAGCAUAAUCACUUGCCUUAUAAUUGAAGGCUGGCAUGAAUGGUCUGACGAGAGCUACACUGUCUCCUCUUUAUUAUCUAGAAAUUAACCUAUAGGUGAAGAGGCCUAUAUUAUAUUGAAGGACAAGAAGACCCUGUCGAGCUUAAAAGUAAAGUAAGAAUUAGCUAUAGAAGGAAAUCAAUAAAUUACAUAACUUUUUAGUUGGGGCGACUAAGGAACAAAUAAAGCUUCUUUUAUUUUUAUAGAUUAACAGAUCUUGAUCCAGCUAACGCUGAUUAGAGGAAUUAGUUACCGCAGGGAUAACAGCAUAAUCUCCUUUGAGAGACCUAAUCGAAAGGGGGGGGUUGUGACCUCGAUGUUGGACUAGAAUAUCCUGAAGAUGCA
rnacentral:rRNA from 1 species